rnacentral:rRNA from 1 species
GAUUAACGCUGGCGGCAUGCCUAAUACAUGCAAGUCGAACGAAGCACUUUUGUGCUUAGUGGCGAACGGGUGAGUAAUGCAUAUCUAAUCUACCCCCAAGUGAGGAAUAACUACGGGAAACUGUAGCUAAUACCUCAUAGGAUAUCAAAAGGAAUCUUUUGAUGUUUAAAGACGCGUUUGCGUCGCUAGGGGAUGAGGAUAUGUCACAUUAGGUAGAUGGUGGGGUAAUGGCCUACCAUGCCUAUGAUGUGUAGCCGAACUGAGAGGUUGAUCGGCCACAAUGGGACUGAGACACGGCCCAUACUCCUACGGGAGGCAGCAGUAGGGAAUUUUUCACAAUGGACGAAAGUCUGAUGAAGCAAUGCCGCGUGGGGGAUGACGGUCUUCGGAUUGUAAACCCCUGUUGUAAGGGAAGAACACCUAGGAUAGGAAAUGAUCUUAGGCUGACGGUACCUUACCAGAAAGUCACGGCUAACUAUG